rnacentral:rRNA from 1 species
UACGUAGGGGGCUAGCGUUGUCCGGAAUUAUUGGGCGUAAAGAGCUCGUAGGCGGUUUGUCGCGUCUGCUGUGAAAUCCCGAGGCUCAACCUCGGGUCUGCAGUGGGUACGGGCAGACUGGAGUGCGGUAGGGGAGAAUGGAAUUCCUGGUGUAGUGGUGGAAUGCGUAGAUAUCGGGAGGAACACCAGUGGCGAAGGCGGCUUCCUGGACCGGUUCUGACACUGAGGAGCGAAAGCGUGGGGAGCGAUCCGG